UUUCCGUAGGUGAACCUCCGGAAGGAUCAUUGUCGAAGCCUGCCCAGCAGAACAACCCGCGAACUUGUAUAAACAACCGGGGGCAGGGGCGAUCUCGCCCCGUGCCCUCGAACGGCAGGGAGACACUCGUGCCUUCUUGUCGAACAACAAACCCCGGCGCGGUCUGCGCCAAGGAACUUCAAUUAAAGAGUGCCUCCGGUCGCCUCGGAAACGAUGCGCGUGUCGGAGGCGAAUCUUGUACAAAACCAUAACGACUCUCGGCAACGGAUAUCUCGGCUCUCACAUCGAUGAAGAACGCAGC
rnacentral:misc_RNA from 1 species